UGGUGGAGUGAUUUGUCUGGUUAAUUCCGUUAACGAACGAGACCUCAGCCUGCUAAAUAGUUCGCAUGGCACUCGUGCCGUGUUUGGACUUCUUAGAGGGACAUUCGGUUUCUAGCCGAAGGAAGUUUGAGGCAAUAACA
rnacentral:rRNA from 1 species